UCAACCAAUGAAACAAACAACCAACCAAACGACCAACCAAACAACCAAACAAACAACCAAACAACCAAACAAACAAAAACUGCCAAAAACAAAUAAAAAAAUCAAGGGCACGGCGCAAUGUCUUUAAAUAUUUUAUAUUUCAGCUGACCUUUUAAUUCAAUCUUUUUCCCCAAAGGAUAACAAGUGGAUUUGUGUCUAUUAAGAAAUUCCCCAUAUAUUUUUCAUUCUGGGUCAUAUGUGGCUAUAUGGAUAGAGGGAAUGGGUAGAUUUUAGUCAAGGUCCAAGGGUGAGGAGAGUUCAAGCCUGAAGGAGCCCUGUGCUAGGUAUAGGGAAAGGCUGUCUCAGGCAUUUGCAUGUACAGAUGACAUAGACACAGCUGGAGGUUAGCUUGUCUGACUCUUGUCGUUCCUCAGUCUAGAGACUUCUUUCCCAUCUUCAGGAGCAGAAGUUCUGAAGUCCACCAUGAAGUGAAAUUGAAGGUUAAAUUCUCAUACUCUUCAACACUUUGAAAAUUGUUAGGGUUGAAAAUUUCAGAAUAACUUUCUGGAAGCUGAUGUGGGAGAUUUACGUCCCUGUGAUUUCUACCUACAGAGCUUGAGGAAAAAUUCAGUUUAGAGAAAAGAAAGUGACAGUUGGUAGGUUUGUGGUCUGAGGUUCCUUCCUGUUGUCCUCUUCUAGAAGAGUCCCUAUCACAUUCACAAACAAACAAACAAACAAACAAAUAAACAAAUAAUAAUAAAAAUCCAGACCCCAAGUUUUGGAAUUCUCUUCGAAACAUUUUCACCUUGAAAGAAAAGCUAAAAUAGCACAUUAAAAAGUCUUACCACACUGCCCCAGCACUACCUUUUCUAAGUUUUUGCCAUUCCUCAGUUUCUUUCUCCAAGUCCUUGAAAGUGUAUCUUAGACAGAGGAGCUACAACCCCUCCCCAAGACUAAGUAUAUUGUCUUUAAAUAAGCAAACUCUCCUUCAUAGCCCCAAGGAAGCUCUCACAGGAAAUUGGCUAGGGAGAUGGCUCUGUGGGUAAGAAUGCUGGCUAUGUAAACAUGAAGUUCUGAGUUCAAAUCCCUUGCAUCCAUGUAAAAAGCUUGGCUUGUCCACAGGUACACCUGUUAUUCCAGAACUGUGGGGAAUAUAGAUGGGGGGGUCAUCACUGGGGCUUGGUGGCUGCGUUCCUAGCUCUAGAUUCAGUGAAAGACCCAGUCUCAAGGGAAUAAGCUGGAGUCUUUUCUCACAUUCUGUUCCUAUCUGCCUUGUACUUUCCCUGCCCCUCAUCCUGGGAUCAGCAAUAGGUCUGCAAGAAGCCAUUUUUCCUUAGCCAGCUUAUAUGGAACUAGCAAUCCCUCCUUUAUUCUCCUUCUUAUCUCCCUCUUCUUCUUCUCCUUCACCUCCCUCCCCGUUGUAGUUGAUAAUUAGAUGGUCAUUCUCUGGUUUUCAGAUAUCAUGCCAGUCAUUUCCAGGCAUCCUCUUUCUUUCUAUGUAUGAGUAUGGCCUUCAGUGGUAGAGCAAGAACCCUGGCUGUUGUUAUCCUCAGUAAUUUAUGUUGUUGGAGUACAACCAAAAUUCCAGCAACUCCUGCUAUCCCCACCUCCAUACACUCAUUCGAUGCAGCUCUCACCUUCUGGGAGGUCAGCUCAUGCAUUGCUCUGAUGGAAGAGGUGGAUUCUAUUCUGGUUGAGGCUUUCUCCUACAUUUUUAUUUUGUGUGGGAAACCCUCAAGUUUAUUGCUAUAGAGCUUGCAUGCUCCCCCAUUCCUCCUUGGCAGAGAGAGGGUCAAAAAAAGAAUGGAAUGGAAAAUGUAAGAGAAAUACUCAAAAAUCAUUUCAAUCGCUAUUUCAGAAAUCAUCAAUCACAAGUCUCGAGAUUGAUGGCAGAAUCAGGAACAAACCAGCUUUGUCUCAAGCAUCCUGUGAGCUGAUUUGAAUGCAGGCUAGCUGCAGCCAAGAGCCAGAGCAUGACUCCACAGAAGAGCGAUGAAGUCAAGAGGGAGCCCUCCCUUCAUCUACUCUAAUGAAGGAUCGCAGUGCUUUGGGGGAGGCAGUCCCUCACAGGAACAUCUGGCAGCCAGAGCAGUAAUGGGCUGAAGCCAACUGACAUUAGCCCCGGGAGCUUACGACUUCUCUUACACAGACCUCCGCUCAAUUCUGCUGCCAGCCCAGUGCCAAGAUGUUAGACGGAGAUGCCCAGUGUGAUUAUAUUAGGUGGCAGAAGCUCUUAAAUACCUAGUCACCAGCUAUUCAUUGACUGUGGAGUUACCAGUGUUCCUGUCAAUGCAGCUUGAGGGAGUGUAUUGAUCCCUCCCACCAUGGAAGACAUGUCUCAGAAAAUAUGAACACAGCUUCAAUGGUCUGCCUGGAUUGUGCUGUGACAGCCGCGGAGAAACACAGUGGACAAAACUGGUUACCCUCAGAGUCAGAUGAUUUAGCUAAAUCAAGGUAAGUCAUUUCUCAUGCCACACGUAUCCAUUCCAUAGAAAAAAGCUUUGUGUCUUCUGGGCUCGAAAGCCAGGCUGACUCUGCCCAAGUUGCCAUGAAAACCACAGAGACCACGGGGAACUGGUGGCUGAUGGACUACGUCAUUUUUUAAAUAAUACAUAAAUGCUAGAUUAUAGUUUAUUCUUCCCCAGAUUCUGACUACACUGACAACUAAGGUAACUGUAACUUAGCAACUAAGAAACAGAUCUCUGAAUUCAGUUUCUAGCAACUAGUUCAGACGGAAGCUUUCAAAGAUGUAAUCCGUUACUUCCUCACCUAAACUCGGGUUUCAUUGAUUAAAUGCUUCAUAUACCCUCUUCUUGGUACACUACUCUCCUAUUCGAGUUCUUAAAAUUUGCCCAACUAAUGAAACUUCCUUCUAUACAACUCAACUGUAAUCACAAAUUCUUGUUCCUUCUGCUCCACAAAAAGCUUCUUAAAGAAUAUUCAGGUUGUUAACUGAUGUUGUUAUCUCUUUUGUAAACUUAUAAGCUACAGGAAACCUGUGUGUGUGUGUGUGUGUGUGUGUGUGUGUGUGUGUGUGUGUGUUCCAGAAUCUUGUCACGUUCAGGCACUUACUACACCCAGGACAGCUCCAGAGAAGCAACCUCCAGAUGUUCCAAUCUCCUCUCACAGGCACAGACACUUCUAUUGGACUGUUCCUUCUGACCUAUCCUUGGACAGUCCCACAGACCCUGGACAACAGGGAGACAGCCAACUCUAGGACUAGACAAACGUCCCCAGACUCAUUUUUCUAGGUUCCCUAGAGACAUGUCACCCCAAAGCAAGCAGGGAGUAGUCAGAGAUCACGAUGAUCCUAUCCCUGCUUCACCGUUGCCUCUAAUUUUUCUUUUUAAUUAAAUCCGAACAGGGGAAUGUUGGCAUUCUGUCUAAGCUCUACCCCCACACCUACCUGGGAACAGCCAGGUAUGCUCUGCUCCACAGUUGCCUGGCAACAGCCAGCUGUGCCUGACUAUAUAAGGGGCUGCUUGCCCCUCCUCUCUUACUCUCUCUUACCCUCUCUUUCCCCUCUUGCUCUUUGUUCUCUGUUCUUGCUCCCAUUUCCCCCGUGCAUGUGCCCAUGAAUGGCUGCCUUUCCUCUCUUCUACUCUUCUCUCAUUAAACCUCUCCACCCGCAACCAUGGUGUUUGGGUCUCUUCUGUCCGGGCAUGGACCGCAAUUCGAAACCCUAACAAUAUUGCCCCCAUGCCACUCUUUCUUAAUGUUUCCAUCCAGGAGGAAGGUUUCUGGAUGAUCCACCCAUCUCCUCUUUCUGUUCCAUUGUUCAUACUUUGCUCAAUGAAUACCCCAAUGCUCUUUUUCGUCUCCCUUUCCCCCUCUUCCAAAUGUUGCUGCUGCUGAUCUGAUAAGAAUAUCCUAAGAGGGCAGAAAUGACAGGAAACACUAUGCAAUGGGAUGCUAUGAUUAGUCUCCACACUUGCCUUUACAUGCAUGCACAUCCAAGCAAUGCCAGGACACUGAGUUGUGCAUGCUUACAGAGAGAGAGAGAGAGAGAGAGAGAGAGAGAGAGAGAGAGAGAGAGAGAGAGAGAGAGAAGAGGGAAGAGGGAAGAGGAAAGAGAGAAGAGAAGAGAGAAGAGAGAAGAGAAGAGAGAAGAGAGAAGAGAGAAGAGAGAGAGGCAGGGAAGGGGGGAGGAGGAGAGACAGACAGACAGAUGGAUAGACACACAAACAUUCCCCCUCCUCACUUAGCCUAGCCCAAUUAGCAUUGUAGGAGCCAAGACAGUCUUAAUAAUUGGCCAGAUUUCUCAGGCAGCUCAUGUUUUUGCAGAGCAUGCUUUCUGAUAUUUGAUAUUAAAUUCAACAUUAAAUAUUAGAAGAUAAAAUAGGAAAAUUUGAAGAUGAUUUCAUAUUUACAUAUAGACAAUAAACACAUUACACAUGAACAUGAACAUUUUUUAUAAACUACUCUAUUUCCAGAAACUAAAGCAAUUUCUACAAACUCCACAAACCACCAUGAAAUCUUUGUAUGCUUAUAGGAGAGGGAGCAGUGAGGCCUUGCUUUAGUCUGGUAUGUAUUUAAACAUCAGUAGAUGGAGAGACAUCCUAUAGAGUUGCCUAGGUGACUGGAGACAGUCUCUAUAGAGGACCACCAAGUAGGUUGCAGUUGUCAGUGGCAUCAUGGGGUUUAUUAAGAAAACACAUUCUCAUAUUUUCUUCCACUUACUUUUGGUUUAACAAUCAAUAACUAAAUUGUAGAUCCUUGCAAUUAUUCUCAACAUGAAAUGGCUGAAAAAUGCCAGGAGGAGGAGGUGCUCCCAGGAAUACUAUUACUAGGGAUGGACAGCUGUAUGAAAAUGGAAUAUAUUUUAGUGUUAUACUUCUUAGAAAGUGUCACACCUGUUGGUUACCUCUUGGCACAGCAAUGAUGUCUAUGUACACUAACAACAGUAUUUUUGUAAUACUUUUUAGAUUUACUUAUUUUAAAUGUGUAAAUUUUGGCUCCAUAUAUGCAUGUGGACUACGUGUGCCUAGUACCUGAGGAGGUCAGAAGAGGGCAUUGGAUCCCUUGUAACUGGAGUUAUAAGUGGUUAUGAACCUCUGUGUGGGUUCUGGGAAUCAGACCUAGGUCCUCUACAAGAGCGACAAGUGCUCUUAAAGGCAGAGUUGUCUCCCCAGUCCUAGUACUUUCAGUGUUUCAGCAUAGGGAGGAAAAGACUCUUAAUGCUGCUUUUAUAACCUAGGAGAU